UACGUAGGGCGCAAGCGUUGUCCGGAAUCAUUGGGCGUAAAGGGCGCGUAGGUGGCCCGGUCAGUCUUUGGUGAAAGCCCCGGGCUCAACCUGGGAAUUGCAUUCGAGACUGAAUAGCUAGGGUACGGUAGAGGGAAGUGGAAUUUCCGGUGUAGCGGUGAAAUGCGUAGAUAUCGGAAGGAACAUCAGUGGCGAAAGCGACUUCCUGGACCAGUACCGACGUCAGGCACGAAAGCGUGGGGAGCAAACAGG
rnacentral:rRNA from 1 species